rnacentral:rRNA from 1 species
GACGAACGCUGGCGGCGUGCUUAACACAUGCAAGUCGAGCGGUAAGGCCCUUUCGGGGUACGACGAGCGGCGAACGGGUGAGUAACACGUGGGUGACCUGCCCUCAGCUCUGGGAUAAGCCUGGGAAACCGGGUCUAAUACCGGAUAUGACUCCAUGACGCAUGUUGUGGGGUGGAAAGCCUUGUGCGGCUGAGGAUGGGCCCGCGGCCUAUCAGCUUGUUGGUGGGGUGAUGGCCUACCAAGGCGACGACGGGUAGCCGGCCUGAGAGGGCGACCGGCCACACUGGGGACUGAGACACGGCCCAGACUCCUACGGGAGGCAGCAGUGGGGAAUCUUGCGCAAUGGGCGAAAGCCUGACGCAGCGACGCCGCGUGAGGGAUGACGGCCU